rnacentral:lncRNA from 13 species
AUCAAUGUGUGUGGGUGUAAUUUAAUCUCUUGAGAACCUGAGUAGAACAAAAGUGUGGACGGUGAGCAAAUUUGCUCUCUGUUCAAGCUGGGACAUCCAUCUUUGCCCACCCUCAGAUUCUGGCGCAUCUGGUUCUCAGGACUCCAAGUUUGAACUAGAAUUAUACCGUCUUCUUUCCUGGGCCACUAGUUGGAGAUGGCAGAUCAUGGACAUCCUCAUAACAAAUUGUAGAAGAUCAGAAUAUCAGCCAUGGCUGUGAGUGAAGUGAUGGGGUCUAGCUUUUAGAGAGGAGGAACAGAAAAUGAGUGCAGGAAUGUGCCUCCCGUUGGUAUUGGCGAUGCUCUGCAAGGAGACUCAUGCAUCUGUGCAUCUCUGUGGAGUGAGAAGCCUCAGGCGGAAAUACAAGAAGAAGAGGGCCAUCUGAAAAUCUGGAAGAGUGUCUUCAUCAGAUACCAGAUCUGUCAACGCCUUGAACUUGGACUUCUCAGCCUUCAAAACUGUAAGAAAUAAGUGUUUGUUG